UACAGAGGGGGCAAGCGUUGUUCGGAAUUACUGGGCGUAAAGGGCGCGUAGGCGGCCUUCUAAGUCGAACGUGAAAUCCCCGGGCUCGAACCCGGGAACUGCGUCCGAUACUGGAAGGCUUGAAUCCGGGAGAGGGAUGCGGAAUUCCAGGUGUAGCGGUGAAAAUGCGUAGAUAUCUGGAGGAACACCGGUGGCGAAGGCGGCAUCCUGGACCGGCAUUGACGCUGAGGCGCGAAAGCCAGGGGAGCAAACGGG
rnacentral:rRNA from 1 species